AGGUGCUGCAUGGCUGUCGUCAGCUCGUGUCGUGAGAUGUUCGGUUAAGUCCGCUAACGAGCGCAACCCUCGCUGUGUGUUACAAGUGUCACACGGUACUGCCGGUCUUAAGCCGGAGGAAGGUGGGGAUGACGUCAAGUCAGCAUGGCCUUUAUGUCCUGGGCUACACACACGCUACAAUGGCCAACACAAUAGGUUGCUAAGCCGCGAGGUGGAGCCAAUCCUCAAAGUUGGUCUCAGUUCAGAUUGCAGGCUGCAACCCGCCUGCAUGAAGAUGGAGUUGCUAGUAACCGCAGGUCAGCUAUACUGCGGUGAAUACGUUCCCGGGGCUU
rnacentral:rRNA from 1 species